UCCAUGCAGGGAGCCUGAUGUAGGACUCGACCCUGGGUCUCCUGGAUCAUGCCCUGGGCCGAAGGCGGCGCUAAACUGCUGAGCCACCCAGGCUGCCCUCAAUGCUAAAUUUUGAAUUGCAUUUUGUAUCUAUUUACUAAGAGUACUUGAUUGACAAAGACUUGACUUUACUCAAUGACACAAUACAUGUAUUCCAAAUAAAUAAUUAUUAACCCAUUCAAAAAAUAUUACCAUGGACUUUACUCACUAUUUGCAUCUUUAACAGCUUCUUUUUCAGUGUGUGCCAUGGAGUCCAGAUUAUUAUGGAGUAGAGACCCUAGGGCAGGUUCUUGUGCUUAUCAAAGUCCCUUGGUGCCUAUAGUAUCUAUUUCUGGAGAGGUCAUUUAUCCCUUUGUCAUAAAACAUUGUGUUAAAUUAACUUGUUUUACAUAGGAUCUACCAUGGUAUUCAAAUAUGCAUUCUGCAAACUGAUUUAAUAUAAUUUAGAAAGAUUUUUAUGAUUGAUACAAAUCAUCAAACCAUGAAAGUUUGACACCUCUUUGGAACUGAAGCUUCACCUUCAGUUUCAUCUCCCUUGGGUAAAAGCUUUAUUAUUUACAAUUUUGAAAUAAAUUUGUGAUGUUCCUAUUGUGAAAAGCUUUAUAGGCCUAUCUGACAUACCAUAUUACCAAGGAUAUAGCAUUUCUUUAAGUGCCUUUUUAAAAAAUAAAAAAAAACAUGUCACUAAUGCCUGAAACUAAUAUUUCACUGUAUGUUAACUAAUUAAACCUUACAGGAAAACUUUGGGAAAAAACAUGACACUGCAUUUUUAAAAGAUUGACGUGUGACAAGUUUUCUCUAGACCCUUAAUCUGUCUAAAAAUAAUCCUAUUGCUUACACAAAUCUCAAGUUCUGCAUUAGUGCUACAAAACAAGCUGAGACUUUUUUCAUUUUUAAUUAUAAAGGCCCUGACUACAUUGUUUUAAACCUUUGGAAAUCAUUUAUGUGGCACCCAGAAGUUUGUCCUCAAAUCCCCGUCUCCAUUUGAACUUUGUUACAACAGCAUGCAAUGUCAGAGCUAGAAGGACCUCGGGAGAUAUACAGCUCAAUCUCCUCCCUUUGCAGAUUGAAGAACUGAGGCCCAGGGAGUUUCUGUAACUUGCUUCAUCUAAAUCCACACAGCCAGUUGGAAGUUCAUCUCUUCCUCUUAUCUCUUAAAAAUUUCUUUUCCAUCACCUUUGAACGGAACCUACCUGUUAUGUGCUUCAUCAAACUCUUUUCCACUGGACCAAGACACAGAGAGGACUGUGAGCAGCAUAUUUUUUUCCUUUACAUUAGGAGCAAGCUCCUGGCUAAUGAUUAAUGGAGAGCUGUCAGGUUUAUUGCUUGUACACUCCUCUAUCAGAUAAUACGAUAUCGUCUGCUCCAAAAGUCUAUGUGGAAAUGGAAGCAUUCAUGGAUGCCCACUUGGAUGAAGCAGAGAGAAGGGGGGAGGGUAAGAAGGAGAGCAAGAGAAAGAAUCUCAAGAAGACUCUGCUCUGAGCAUGGAGCCCUACACAUGGAGACCCCGAGAUCACGACCUGGGCUGAAAUCAAGAGUUGGAUGCCCAACUGAUUGAACCACUUAGACGCCUCUGAGCAAUUCUUUAAAAAAUUAAACAGUUUUAUGUGAUUUUUCUAACAACACUAUUCUGGGCCCAUAUUCACCUAGUGUGAGGGAUUUGGUUUCUGUUGUUGGUAGGUGAGUCCUUGAGAAGAGACUUUUUAUUGAGAUGACUAAUUACACCUGUCACUCAUUUAGGGCUUACUGUAUGACCAGCAAGCACCAUGCUAAAAGCUUCCAGUGGAUUUUAAACAUUCUCUGAGCAGGCUUUUUAUGGGAAGGCUUUUACAAAUGUGGAAUCUCACAGCUAUUAAGUGGCUGAGCCAGGGUCCCAUGCCACUGUGUGGUUCUGCAUCACUGUAUACCAUUCUGCCCAUGUUUACUCUGGUUAUUCUCAUGCCAGCUUGAGAUGUUUGCCUUAUUUCACAACCACUUCAACACUACGUUAUUAAUGUUUCUCUUAGCUAAGGCAAUUAACUGUUCAUACCUGUUACUUAUUCUAAGUAUUUGAGGCCAUAAAAAUUGAGUAUGAGCUAUUGAACUCAUUUUAUACUUUCUCUAACAGGUAGUCAAAUAAAUAAAUAACAAUGAAACCAAAAA